AGAGUUUGAUCCUGGCUCAGAGCGAACGCUGGCGGCAGGCUUAACACAUGCAAGUCGAGCGGGCAUAGCAAUAUGUCAGCGGCAGACGGGUGAGUAACGCGUGGGAACAUACCUUUUGGUUCGGAACAACACAGAGAAACUUGUGCUAAUACCGGAUAAGCCCUUACGGGGAAAGAUUUAUCGCCGAAAGAUUGGCCCGCGUCUGAUUAGCUAGUUGGUGAGGUAACGGCUCACCAAGGCGACGAUCAGUAGCUGGUCUGAGAGGAUGAUCAGCCACAUUGGGACUGAGACACGGCCCAAACUCCUACGGGAGGCAGCAGUGGGGAAUAUUGGACAAUGGGCGCAAGCCUGAUCCAGCCAUGCCGCGUGAGUGAUGAAGGCCCUAGGGUUGUAAAGCUCUUUUGUGCGGGAAGAUAAUGACGGUACCGCAAGAAUAAGCCCCGGCUAACUUCGUGCCAGCAGCCGCGGUAAUACGAAGGGGGCUAGCGUUGCUCGGAAUCACUGGGCGUAAAGGGUGCGUAGGCGGGUCUUUAAGUCAGGGGUGAAAUCCUGGAGCUCAACUCCAGAACUGCCUUUGAUACUGAGGAUCUUGAGUUCGGGAGAGGUGAGUGGAACUGCGAGUGUAGAGGUGAAAUUCGUAGAUAUUCGCAAGAACACCAGUGGCGAAGGCGGCUCACUGGCCCGAUACUGACGCUGAGGCACGAAAGCGUGGGGAGCAAACAGGAUUAGAUACUCUGGUAGUCCACGCCGUAAACGAUGAAUGCCAGCCGUUAGUGGGUUUACUCACUAGUGGCGCAGCUAACGCUUUAAGCAUUCCGCCUGGGGAGUACGGUCGCAAGAUUAAAACUCAAAGGAAUUGACGGGGGCCCGCACAAGCGGUGGAGCAUGUGGUUUAAUUCGACGCAACGCGCAGAACCUUACCAGCCCUUGACAUCCCGGUCGCGGACUCCAGAGAUGGAGUCCUUCAGUUCGGCUGGACCGGAGACAGGUGCUGCAUGGCUGUCGUCAGCUCGUGUCGUGAGAUGUUGGGUUAAGUCCCGCAACGAGCGCAACCCCCGUCCUUAGUUGCUACCAUUUAGUUGAGCACUCUAAGGAGACUGCCGGUGAUAAGCCGCGAGGAAGGUGGGGAUGACGUCAAGUCCUCAUGGCCCUUACGGGCUGGGCUACACACGUGCUACAAUGGCGGUGACAAUGGGACGCUAAGGGGCAACCCUUCGCAAAUCUCAAAAAGCCGUCUCAGUUCGGAUUGGGCUCUGCAACUCGAGCCCAUGAAGUUGGAAUCGCUAGUAAUCGUGGAUCAGCAUGCCACGGUGAAUACGUUCCCGGGCCUUGUACACACCGCCCGUCACACCAUGGGAGUUGGUUUUACCUGAAGACGGUGCGCUAACCCGCAAGGGAGGCAGCCGGCCACGGUAGGGUCAGCGACUGGGGUGAAGUCGUAACAAGGUA
rnacentral:rRNA from 1 species